rnacentral:rRNA from 1 species
AUUGAACGCUGGCGGCAUGCCUUACACAUGCAAGUCGAACGGUAACAGGUCUUCGGAUGCUGACGAGUGGCGAACGGGUGAGUAAUACAUCGGAACGUGCCUAGUAGUGGGGGAUAACUACUCGAAAGAGUGGCUAAUACCGCAUGAGAUCUACGGAUGAAAGCAGGGGAUCGCAAGACCUUGUGCUACUAGAGCGGCCGAUGGCGGAUUAGGUAGUUGGUGGGAUAAAAGCUUACCAAGCCGACGAUCUGUAGCUGGUCUGAGAGGACGAUCAGCCACACUGGGACUGAGACACGGCCCAGACUCCUACGGGAGGCAGCAGUGGGGAAUUUUGGACAAUGGGCGAAAGCCUGAUCCAGCAAUGCCGCGUGCAGGAUGAAGGCCUUUGGGUUGUAAACUGCUUUUGUACGGAACGAAAAGCUCUGGGUUAAUACCCUGGGGUCAUGACGGUACCGUAAGAAUAAGCACCGGCUAACUACGUGCCAGCCGCCGCCGUAAUAC